rnacentral:rRNA from 1 species
CGCGUAGGCGGCUUUGCAAGUCAGGGGUGAAAUCCCUCGGCUCAACCGAGGAAUUGCCUCUGAAACUGCAAAGCUUGAGACCGGGAGAGGGUAGUGGAAUUCCGAGUGUAGCGGUGAAAUGCGUAGAUAUUCGGAGGAACACCAGUGGCGAAGGCGACUACCUGGACCGGUUCUGACGCUGAGGCGCGAAAGUGUGGGGAGCAAACA